UACGGGGGGGGCGAGCGUUAUUCGGAAUUAUUGGGCGUAAAGGGCGCGUAGGCGGCCGGAUAAGUCAAAGGUGAAAUCCCUCGGCUCAACUGAGGAACUGCCUUUGAUACUGUUUGGCUUGAGUCCGGGAGGGGGUAGCGGAAUUCCCAGUGUAGCGGUGAAAUGCGUAGAUAUUGGGAGGAACACCAGUGGCGAAGGCGGCUACCUGGACCGGAACUGACGCUGAUGCGCGAAAGCGUGGGGAGCAAACAGG
rnacentral:rRNA from 1 species